rnacentral:rRNA from 1 species
GACGAACGCUGGCGGCGUGCUUAAUACAUGCAAGUCGAACGGAAAGGCGCGGCUUUUGUGGGGUGCUCGAGUGGCGAACGGGGGAGUAACACGUGAGUAACCUGUCCUUGACUUUGGGAUAACUUCAGGAAACUGGGGCUAAUAUCGGAUAGGAGCUCCUGCUGCAUGGUGGGGGUUGGAAAGAUUCGGCGGUUGGGGAUGGACUCGCGGCUUAUCAGCUUGUUGGUCGGGUAGUGGCUUACCAAGGCUUUGACGGGUAGCCGGCCUGAGAGGGUGACCGGGCACAUUGGGCCUGCGAUACGGCCCAGAAUCCUACGGGAGGCAGCGGUGGAGAAUAUUACGCAAUGGGCGGAAGCCUGAUACAACGACGCCGCGUGCGGAAUGACGGCCUUCGGGUUAUAAACCGCUUUCGAAUGUAACGAAGCGUGAGUGACGGUAAUGAGUAAGAAAGCCACGGCUAACUACGUG